AUGACCCCCAGCCUGGCCAUCGCCUUCCUCCUGCUGCUCCCCGCGGGUACGGGCGGGAUCUGCGCUGCCGCUCCGUGCCCGGUCAGCCUGGUGGAGUCCGGAGGGGGAGUCAAGAAACCUGGAGAGACCCUCAGACUGACCUGCACCGUGUCCGGAUUCUCUCUCACUAGCUACGCGGUGCACUGGGCCCGCCAGCCAGCGGGAAAAGGGUUGGAAUCGAUGGGAGGUAUCUGGGCUGAUGGAAGAACUAACUAUAACGAUGCUCUCAAAAGUCGACUCGCCAUCACCAGAGACACCUCCAAAGGCCAAGUGUCCCUUCAACUGACCGGCCUGCAGCCCGGAGACACCUACGUGUCUUACUGUGCCAAAUACUCACUGUGUGGAAAAUCCUAUUAA